rnacentral:tRNA from 2 species
GCCUGAGUGGCUCAGUCGGUUGAGUGUCUGACUUCGGCUCAGGUCAUGAUCUCGCAGUUCGUGGGUUCGAGCCCCACGUCAGGCU